UGCUCGCCGAGUUCGGUUGGGUUGUUGUGCCGUUGUGCGAUUCGUUGUCCGAUUGAUCGUUGAGCCGUCAUCUCGUGUGUGUGUCUUUUCUGUGCUCCGCAUACUCAAGGAAUAUGGUUCUUGCAGGUCUACCGUUUCAUGCGUCUUUUUGUAUGGUUCUGAGAACGUUGCAUGUGCGAGGGAUCUACGAAGCCAUGUGCUGCAUGCAAUCAUACAAAGUACGCAAAGUGGAACGGAAGAAAAUCAACGAAAGGAAGACCCUCAGGCACGCCAGUUGCAGAUAAAUACGGCAUUCCUUUGGUACUCAGACCCACUUCCUGAUGCCAAGUAGGGCAAGCCUCCCACCUUCUAGCACCCUCCCUCUAACAUAGUGUCAGUAGUUCUUGGGGUCUGCAGACACGGGCGCAGCUGAAAGUAUGCAACUGGCAUCAUUUGGCGAUAUCAGCUGUUCCACUCCAGCACCUCGAGGCCCUGAUAUAACAGCUGCGUCAACGUGGGCUGCAUUAUGUUGACUUUCCCCCGUGUACAUUUGAUGCCCACCUUGGACCUACUGGCUAGGCUGCUAGCCUUUGAUACAUUAACUUGUAAUACGUUAUCCUUCUGAAUAUGUUAGCACCCGCAUAUGGUGAAGGGAAGCGCAACAGCACGUCCAGGUAGCCCCAGAUCCAGUUGGUGAACCUUAGACACCUGUGAGAAAAAACAAUCCUUAAAUCUGCUGUGUCAAUUAAAAACGGUAAAAGCACUAAAAUAUUCCUUGUGCCAUGAAAAAACAACCAAGCUAAGCUGUACACAGGAUAUAAACAUGAAGCAACAUACAGGGUGUCCCAGCUAAGUGCGAACCUAUUAAAAUGUGUCAGGUGACCGAGGGGACCAGAGUGAGUGAGUGACUGAAAAAUAAAAAAAAAAUAAAAAAGGGGAGAAAAUUGGCACCACCAAAGUGGGAGCCGGCUACUUACAUACCACGUAGACAACUCAGAAAACGAACCAAUGGUCAAACAAAGUCAGAACAGUGAAAAAGAAAAAGAAUAAAAGAAAAGGAACAGUAAUGGAAACAAAGGCACAAAAGUCAAAACGUAUCGUCGGCACCAAUAUCAUACAGGAACGAGACCAAGUCACGCAGCACAACCAGACUUUCAUGUGGGGGUCGGGCACCCAAGAGGGCGACUGUCUAGGGACGCGAGCGAACGCUCAAGUUUCGAUCGGGCAUCAGAGUAUCGCAAGCACAACACCAAUAUAUGCUCUGAAUCCUCGAGGACACCACAGUCAGGGCAGUUGGGCGAGUACGCCUUCCCUAUCUUGUGAAGCAGCCGAGCAGUAUAGGGGCCAGAUGUUCUCAUUAACUUCGUAGCUUUUAUGAUUAAAUUAUUAGUAAAAAAUAUUAUUAAGACAUUGCCUUAGGAGUUUGCUAAUGUCCUCCUAAGGAGUGCCCUUCAGCAUAUGCUACGAGUAUGUUGCAAUUGAUUUCAUCUCGGAAAAGGUGAUAUAUACUAUAUAUAUAUAAAGAAAAUAUGUUCGCACUUAGCUGGGGCACCCUGUAUAUGCAAAGUAUGCCACCAAAGUGUGUUUGGUGUGUGCGCGUCCCUCCUAAGUGUUUGUCCUAUACUGUUAGCACUUCUACCCUCUUUGAUAUCGUAGCCCAACAUGCCCAACAAGAUGUUUGACUUUAUAUAAUAAGGAGUGUGGGAGUUGUUCAGAUGAGAUGCUUUUGUGAAUUCACGCGAUAAAAAGUGAGGCGCUAGUUACGAAGAAACGUGCAUUUCAUGUGAAAUACAGCACAAAACGAAGAGAUAGACUCAAUAUUUAAUAAGGAAUUGAUUGAUUUCUUGAUUUCCAACUAUCGUUUGAAAGUGAUAACCAGUGCCCCUCAAAGAAAUUGAAAAACUACGUUACUGUACAUCAAAAUGGCAGAGUGCACUCUUAAAAAUGAAC